GAUGAACGCUGGCGGCGUGCCUAAUACAUGCAAGUCGAGCGAACGGACGAGAAGCUUGCUUCUCUGAUGUUAGCGGCGGACGGGUGAGUAACACGUGGAUAACCUACCUAUAAGACUGGGAUAACUUCGGGAAACCGGAGCUAAUACCGGAUAAUAUUUUGAACCGCAUGGUUCAAAAGUGAAAGACGGUCUUGCUGUCACUUAUAGAUGGAUCCGCGCUGCAUUAGCUAGUUGGUAAGGUAACGGCUUACCAAGGCAACGAUGCAUAGCCGACCUGAGGGUGAUCGGCCACACUGGAACUGAGACACGGUCCAGACUCCUACGGGAGGCAGCAGUAGGGAAUCUUCCGCAAUGGGCGAAAGCCUGACGGAGCAACGCCGCGUGAGUGAUGAAGGUCUUCGGAUCGUAAAACUCUGUUAUUAGGGAAGAACAUAUGUGUAAGUAACUGUGCACAUCUUGACGGUACCUAAUCAGAAAGCCACGGCUAACUACGUG
rnacentral:rRNA from 1 species